UACGUAGGGUGCGAGCGUUGUCCGGAAUUAUUGGGCGUAAAGAGCUCGUAGGCGGUGUGUCACGUCGGCCGUGAAAACCUGCAGCUUAACUGUGGGCGUGCGGUCGAUACGGGCAUCACUGGAGUUCGGCAGGGGAGACUGGAAUUCCUGGUGUAGCGGUGAAAUGCGCAGAUAUCAGGAGGAACACCGGUGGCGAAGGCGGGUCUCUGGGCAGUAACUGACGCUGAGGAACGAAAGCGUGGGUAGCAAACAGG
rnacentral:rRNA from 1 species